UGAGGAAUAUUGCGCAAUGGGCGAAAGCCUGACGCAGCGACGCCGCGUGGAGGAUGAAGGUCUUCGGAUCGUAAACUCCUGUCGAGUGGGACGAAGCCGAGCCGGUGAAUAGCCGGUUCGGUUGACGGUACCGCCAAAGGAAGCCCCGGCUAACUCCGUGCCAGCAGCCGCGGUAAUACGGAGGGGGCCGAGCGUUGUUCGGAAUCAUUGGGCGUAAAGGGCGCGUAGGCGGCUUUGUAAGUCGGUUGUGAAAUCCCUCGGCUCAACCGAGGAACUGCGACCGAUACUGCUUGGCUUGAGUCCCGGAGAGGGUAGCGGAAUUCCCAGUGUAGCGGUGAAAUGCGUAGAUAUUGGGAGGAACAUCGGUGGCGAAGGCGGCUACCUGGACGGGUACGUGACGCUGAGGCGCGAAAGCUAGGGGAGGCAAACAGGAUUAGAUACCCUGGUAGUCCAAGCUGUAAACGAUGGGCACUUGGUGUUGCGGGUAUCGACCCCUGCAGUGCCGAAGCUAACG
rnacentral:rRNA from 1 species